GAUGAACGCUAGCGGCAGGCUUAAUACAUGCAAGUCGUGGGGCAGCAUGAGUAGCAAUACUUGAUGGCGACCGGCAAACGGGUGAGGAACACGUACACAACCUUCCUUCAAGCGGGGAAUAGCCCAGAGAAAUUUGGAUUAAUACCCCAUAAUAUAUUUGAUAAAGGCAUCUUAUUGAUAUUAAAGCUUCGGCACUUGAUGAUGGGUGUGCGGCUGAUUAGAUAGUUGGCGGGGUAACGGCCCACCAAGUCUACGAUCAGUAGCUGAUGUGAGAGCAUGAUCAGCCACACGGGCACUGAGACACGGGCCCGACUCCUACGGGAGGCAGCAGUAAGGAAUAUUGGACAAUGGACGAAAGUCUGAUCCAGCCAUGCCGCGUGAAGGAUUAAGGUCCUCUGGAUUGUAAACUUCUUUUAUAUGGGACGAAAAAGGGCAUUCUUGUUCACUUGACGGUACCAUAUGAAUAAGCACCGGCUAACUCCGUGCCAG
rnacentral:rRNA from 1 species